rnacentral:rRNA from 1 species
UUUGACCGUGCAAAGGUAGCAUAAUCAUUAGUUUUUUAAUUGAAAGCUGGUAUGAAAGGUUGGAUGAGAAAAUAGCUGUCUCUAUUUAAAUUAUUUAGAAUUUUAUCUUUAAGUAAGAAAGCUUAAAUUUUAAUUGAAGACGAGAAGACCCUAUAGAGUUUUAUAAAUUUUAGUUUAAGGAAACUUAAGAAUUAACAAAUUUUUAAAUUAAAAUCUAUUUAGUUGGGGCGAUUGAAAAAUUUAAUAAACUUUUUUUAUUAAUUUAAACAUUAAUUUAUGAUUAGAUGAUCCUUAUUUAAAGAUUAAAAGAAAAAAUUACCUUAGGGAUAACAGCGUAAUUUUUUUAAAGAGUUCAAAUCGAAAAAAAAGAUUGCGACCUCGAUGUUGGAUUAAAAUAAAAUUUUGGUGUAGGAGCUAAAUAAUUUGGGUCUGUUCGACCCUUAAAAUUUUACAUGAUCUGAGUUUAAACCGGUGU